rnacentral:lncRNA from 1 species
CACUCCCCAUUCCAUGGUGGCCUCCGCCUGUUCUCCCCGCUGCCUGCUCUCCUCCGCAUGCCGCGCCGUCGCACGACGCCUCCUCCCUGUUGCCACGAUGUCGCCCAGCGCCUCCUCCUCCACCCCUCUGCCUCGCCCCGCCGCCUCCUCGCCGCACGACGGCCUCGCCUCGCCAGCAACCCCGCCGGUCUUACCUAGAUAAACUCUGCCGCUGCCAUCCCCAUGUCCCAGCGCAGAUCUAGACGGGAGCUAGAGGGGCAUGCUGGACACGAUGCGGGAGCGGGCAUAUCAUAGCGGACCGAGAUCCAGUGCGUCUACGUGCCCGCCGUCAUCGUUGCCCCCCGUGCUUGGCUCCCACACUCGCUCCAGGUAGGUGCUCGCAGCUCGCCUACUGCUCGGCUGCUCCAGGUACUUGACGGACUCAGGUAGUUGUAAUGGGAUGUCAGCUUCUUAAUCAGUACUCAUAGUUUUUGUGUACCUAUCAUUUGUCAAUUGAAGUGGAAAUGAAAUUCUAGUCUUAUUUUACUAAAUUGUGAGAUUCAGGAUCUGGUUGAUAUUUUGAGAGUUUUUACCAUUUAGGUUUUUGGUAACGCACAUCAGGAAUGCACACUUUAAUUUAUUUUAAGUGUGUACCUAUCAUUUGUUGUGUUUUAACAUAUCUUGCCACUACUCUGUAGUUAAAGCACAACGUGAGGCUGCAGCAGAAGCUUGAGGAAUGCAGGGGCUAAUAAUAGUACUCAUCAACCAAAAAUACCGGCGUCGUCAACCAUGCUUUGAACUUUUGGAGAUCAAGCUGUACGGUUGUACCAUGAAGAUUUUUGGUAAAUACCUCAACUCUCAUGAGAUGAUUAGCUUAGAAAAUCGAGAUAUUUUCUCAUUAAUUUCAGCUCUUCUGAUGAGGCACAUAGUUUUGUGCUUGGGGUGCUCAGAAAGAAUAGGAUGUUUUCUUUUUUAUACAUCUCGUGGCUUAUACUUGUGUCAGAACAGAAAGGAAAAAAGAAUACUUGGUCUUUACAUGGAAACGACGCUCCUAUGGUUUUGUGAUCUCAAAUUUUGCAGAAUUUCUUCUAAUGUUUUAUUUACUCUUUUACUGGCUUCCCCGUCUUUAUUUGUGACGCUUAGUUGCUCACCCUGGCAUGCUCUGUUACCCAAGAUGCAGUUUAAGGAUUCAAGUGGCGAUUGCAACCCAAAACAUUGCAAAGAAUCUGCUACCAGAGGCUUCAUUAUGCACACCUUUUCUUUUUACAAAAUGGAGUCUGAUCUGCUGUCAUCACAUCACCAGGUAUGCCUACAGCACCAAUGUUUGUACAGUGACAUUUAUUCACACACAAAUGAAGAUAUUCUAAGGUUAGAACGAACAUCACCUUCAACACCUGGUGUGUAUCGUAGUUGGGUGACAGCAGAUUGCGCAGUGGGCCUCUCGGCGGUGUGAAAAUCCGGCAGAAGAAAUCACUUGAUCAUAUAUUUGAUUAUACUUCUGAUUGCUCAAUCAUAUAUAAAGAACAAAAUAUAAUGGACAAACCAGGUGAUAAUGAUAUUGCCGCGUGUGUCCUAGAUGGGGUGUGUUCUGCAUUAAGAAUAGUAGAUGUAGCUUUCUUAUGAGCCAUGUUUAGUGCAUACCUCUCCCUUUCCCUUUGUCUCUUCAACUCUUUAGGACCUGCCAUUUGGCCUGCGUGACAAAAUCUUUACAUAGGCUCGAGUUGGUGAUAUAUUUAAGUUACUUACCUGAGUUGGUGAUGUUGAAUAGGUCCUCAAAUUGGGUCCCUAAGUCGUCACGCUGAGUCGUAAUUAUUGAAAUUUUCCUUGUUACAAAAUGUCCGGUUUGAUUUGAAGGAAUUUGGAUCAUGAAAUGGAGCCUGAUCGGACAUCAUCACAUCAGCAUUUAUGCCUGUACCACCAAUGUCAGUACAGUAACAUUUUUUUACACACAAAUGGAGUUCCAAAUUUGUUAGGCUGAGAGGAUGCCAUAUGCAACUGUCUCAAUCAGGAUCUUAGUGUUCUCAAUCAUGGUUGUUGUACAUGAAAGAUUUACUUGAGCCAUAAACAGGAUGGUUGCAGGAGAAAAAUAAGUACAAUGAUUUGGUGUUUUCAAUGCUUUGAGCUGAAAAACAGUUCAGAUACCUGAAUUGCUGAUGGUCCUGAAGUCGUUACGCCGAGAGGAUGCCAUAUGCAACUGUCACAAUCAGGAUCUUAGUGUUCCCAAUCAUGGUUGUUGUGCUUGAAAGAUUUAGUCAUGAGCCAUAAAUAGGAUGGUUGUAGGAGAAAAAGAAGUACAAUGAUUUGGUGCUUUCAAUGUUUUGAGCUGAAAAACAGUUCAGAUUAUAUGCUUCCAGCCGUGAAACUGCUUAUCGCAUUAGUCUUUUUCAUUGUAUUUUAGCGCUUCCGGUGAUUCCUUCUCUGUCAUCAUUGUGCUUUUCAGGUUUGAUUCCUUUUGUGACACAUUAAGUGGCCUCACAGGUUGGUUGCACGUUUCCCUCUAUUAUGUAAGUAGUAACCCAUAGUGCCGCUUUUUUCCUUGGUGCUAAUAGAAACAAAUUCUCAAACAUAGUACACAAGAAAUAUUCGAUGGCAGGAACACCAGUACGAUAUUAUGCAUAUAUAAUCAUGAACAUACUACAAUAUUUGUUUCCUCAGGUUCUGUGCCCAGUUCAAUCACCGCUCCACACAGUAGGGUUAACCGAAGAUUCUCUUAGGUUCUGGGCCUCUGGACUGUACAAAAACACCAUGAGAAAACAAAACACCAUGAGAAAACUCUGUUAGAGCCAGCACACCUAUAGACUGUGAACCCAAGUAGCAGAACAUGACAAUUUUUUGUGAAAUCGGUCACUCCAUCUAACCACACUGAUUAAUGUGUUUAUCCAAGAAUAGUAUUCAGUAGAAUAGCAGACAAGAAUGGUAAAUCUCGACAGAUAGGAGAGAAAUUGUGCAGUAAGGCAGCAAAGCGAAGCUGGGACUGAACCUGGAGACCAUAUCGGAUGACGCCGAUCUGCUCAACACCCUUGAACGGCUCCGGGAGCAGCGGGAACAGGUUUCGCCCUCGUGCCACCAGGUUUUGCCGUCCUGUUGCUGGUUGGCGAGCCGAUACUUCCCGUCGGCCUUGUUGGUAUCGGAAACGCUGGAGAAGAGCUACGCCGCAGGCAUGAAGUCCUUCCCGGUGACCAGGUAUCCGUCGGGGACUCGAACGUCCACCAUACGACCGUGUCGUCAACGUGGAACAACACAAAGUUGUCGUCAUCUCGCAGGGCGCCCGCAACUCAGGCAGAUCUGAUUGGGCGACCAGGUGGGUUUCCAUUGGCCGUGGAAAUCAUACCUGGCCGAUCUGAUGGGGCUGUCUGCUGCUUCAAAACUCAGGCAAAUUGAUGCAUAAUAAUCUUGUUGUAGCCUGACAAAUAUGUGAAUAUCUGAUUGUAGGUGAAAGGAGGGGCGGCCACCCACUCGACGGUGCGGUGCAGGGUGGCAAGGGAGCCGGCAGGGAGGCGUCAACGCGGUGCAUGGCCGUGAGGGAACCGUCUAGGGAGGCGACGAUGCGAUGCAGGGAUCGAGGCCGCCGUGCAGGGAGGCGACGGGGCUGCUGAGCUUCGUCUGGGGCGGUGGCGAGGAAAGGCAGGGAGAGGGGCGAGGGAGACGAUUAGGUUUAGUUUCCUUUUAUUCAAAUUGAUUAGAUGGUUAGAUUAGCGUGAUUUGAGGGCCUGCGGAGGUGGGAUGGAGAGUUUCAUGUUUUCAUCUAGUGGAGUAUGGUCAGUCCAUGUAAACUGCUAAGCGCACACCAGAUCUCGAAUAAAUUAAUAAUGGCUGUUAGAUUGGGUCGUGUAGGCUUCAUCCUGUGGUGGUGAUGUGUCUGUAUACGUUUUGCGGGAUGUACGUAAGAAAGUUCUUGUUUGAUUGUUUAAUAGUAGUAGAGAUACGAGAAAAGAUGAAAAGGUGCAAGUUGUCCGCACCGCAAAAAAGUGUUUUCCUCUAUCAAGUAUUCGAUCGCAAGUAACGAGAGAGUCGCU